UUCCCAGCAUUUCCCAGCGUUUCCCAGCAUUUCCCAGCAUUUCCUGGCAUUUCCCAUCAUUUCCCAGCAUUUCCCAGCAUUUCCCAGCAUUUCCCAGCAUUUCCUGGCAUUUCCCAGCAUUUCCCAACAUUUUUCAGCAUUUCCCAGCAUUUCCCAGCAUUUCCCAUCAUUUCCCGGCAUUUUUCAGCAUUUCCCACCAUUUCCCAGCAUUUCCCAGUAUUUCCCAGCAUUUCCCAACAUUUCCCAGCGUUUCCCAGCAUUUCCCAGCAUUUCCCAGCAUUUCCCAGCAUUUCCCAGCAUUUCCCAGCAUUUCCCAGCCAUUUCCCAUCAUUUCCCAGCAUUUCCCAGCAUUUCCCAGCAUUUCCCAGUAUUUCCCAGCAUUUCCCAGCCAUUUCCCAGAAUUUCCCAGCAUUUCCCAGCAUUUCCCAGCA